rnacentral:lncRNA from 1 species
CAGCCUGGGUGUAGAAUGAGUGUAUCUAGUAAGGGACACACAGUGACAAGUGUUUGGUUUUUUUUAAUGAUCAGGAAACUGUGUGGGGACAACGGAUAGAAGACAGAAGGCGUUCGUUGGACGGCGAGGAAGUUGUCUGACAUCCAGGAAGCAGGCAGACGCCUGGUCAGGAAGGCUAGAGGAGCGGCAAGGAGACGUGCAGCCGACAGCAGCCCCGCAUGGGGACAGAGCAGGGAGGAGGCCUGAGGUUCAGCUGCGCGAAGCGAGGCCCGCCAGACCCUAACGGACGGGAGCCGGGCCUCCUUGGGGACCGCGAGCUCAGGAAAGAUGGCACGUUCGUGUCUGCAGUGCUUUGGAGAGGCAGACGCAUUCAUCCAGUCAAUCAACAAACGCCGCUGCCGACUGCUCAGCGGGCACCCGAGCAGGAGGCGGGACUGAACUGUGACCCGCUCUCAUCAAAGCCUCCCUCAGGGUCCCAGGGCUGCGAACAUCAGGUAGGUGUGGAGCGAGCGGGACGGCUGACUCUGCCUCUCACGUGCCCUGUGUCUC